CGCCACUGAGCUAAAUCCCUAGCCCCUAUGAAACUUCUUAAAAUGUGCCCAUCUUAUCAAACAGCAUUUGCAGAGAUUGUAUAUUAUUAUUGAAUUAAAGCCAUUCGAUCAAGCCAAGCAAGAGGAAGGAUAAAUCACUGGACUCUGUUCUGGCAUCCUGAUCACUAAUCUACUGUUUCUCUGGAUCCUUCCUCUCCACUAAGGCACUGAUAUCUGACUCCACGUGAGUAAGGCUGAGUUUCUCUUUACCAUUCCUGUCAGAAAGUUCAAGUCGUAUUUAUCUAUUCACUGUUGUCCUUCUCCAGGCUUAGCCAUUUACACUAAAUCUCUCACUAUAGCAUCUCUCUGGUCACAAGUCCAAAACAUAUAUAUUUUCCUUUUAGUCCAGAAUAUAGCUUGUAAACACUAUAAGUUAUAUAGAUAUAACUAGAGGCAUAAUUCUAGCACUGUUUGACUCUGAGAUAGAAUCAAAGGCUUCUUUUAUUUGGUUCCAUUUUGUAGAUGAUGUGCUUUAAGAAUGAACAUUUACCCUCAAAACCAUCUGAUUUCUAAAUGUGAAGCAGAAGAAAUUAUGGUUUAUGUUUUUAUUGUUCUGGCACAAAUUCAGGACUCCGUACCUGCUUGAUAUUCCAGAAAGCAUCUCUUGUGUUGGUGGAUUUAAUAUCAUAAAACAACAUUUUUCUAGUGGGUCUUAAAAUAAUUCAGCAGUAGUUCACAUUUAUAAAAAUAUGGUAAAAACUGAGCAGCUUGUAUGAACUAAAUAUGAGUGCUUAGGUUCUUAUUUGAUGAGCCUUUAGUGGCUUCUGAAAAUGUUCCUGUGGUUUUAGGUUUAGGAUCUUUUUGAAAGGACUGAGACUCUCUUUUUCAUUAAAUUAAUUGAUAUUCAGUAUUUUAUAGCAAGAAAUACACAGUUUACCUUUCAAAUAAAUUGGUGUAAUGUCUAAAUCCGGAUGAAAUUAGAUUAACUUUUAUGUAUAAACAUCUCAGUUCACAUUAUGUUACUAGUUUCUUAGGUUAUAUUUUAGAAAAGUUGUCAAUAACUUGCUUAGGUCAUAUUAGCAAUUUAUUAAACCUGGGUUCUUACUGGUAUAAAUCACUUCUUUCUCAAAAUAUUUUUCUUUCUUCCUUCCUUUCUUUUAAAAAAAAAUUAAGACAGAGUCUUGCUAUAUAGCCCAGGCCGGUCUCGAAUGAAAAAUUUUGCUGCCUUAGUCACCUGAGUGGUGAGACUACAGAUAUUCAUCACAAUGCCUUGUUUUCCAAGAUACUUUCCAAAGACGUCACCCUGCCAGCCUGGGUUGCUAUUGUUCUCUGUACCAUUAUUAGUUAUCUCAGCUCUGCUGGUGAUCACUGUGCCAGACCAUGUGAGGAAGAAUUCACUGCUAAUUGACUUCUAAGAACUGCAACAGACAUAGCUCAGUUGUGGCCAUUUUGAAAGCUAUUGCUCAUGUUCCUUUGCCCUGUGACCUUUUCUAGACCUUCUGAGUAAGACACUUUGAUUGUCAAGAUCUCAUAAAUUUUCACACCAAUCAUAAACAUUAUAAUAUUACUAAGUCCAUGCCCUAACAACAGGUUCGAUGAAAGUAAUACUUCCUGAGAAAAAUGUUCACACUACAUCCUUGAAUUUGUAGAUAAAGGUUUAGCUAACACAUAGUCAGAGGCAAAUUUGGUGUCCCUCCUUGUGUUCUGUUGCAUGAAUUUCUUAUAUUCCUGCUGACUACGGCAGCAGCUUUCUGCCAGUGUAAUAUGGACAUUGCUAUUAGAAUGUGUUUCUUUAGCAAUUGUGAUGCUUGGUUGUGUGAUAUCAUAGGCAGGUGAUUUUGUACAGGCUGAGUUCAGUCAGGAAGAUUUUAUUGCUGCUAUAAUUUGGAUCCUAAGUGACUUCCAAAGGUCUGUUUAGUAAAAGCCCUCCUAGAAAGUGGAGGGGCCUUUAUGAGAUGGAGCCUAAUGGGAGGUCUUUGGACCAUUGGGAUCAUGCCCUUGAAGGGGAUUUUGGGUCUCCCUCUCUUUCUCUCACUUCCCAGCCAUGAGGUAAGCAGUUUUUCUUCACCAUACCCUCCCUUGAUGUAGUACCAUGAUGUACUACCACAGGCCCAAAGCAAUGUGAUCAACUGAUCAGGAACCAAAAUAUCUAAGCAUUUAAGUGGAAAUAAAACUUUUCUCUUUAUAAGUUUCUUAUCUCAGGUAUUUAUUACAGUAAUAGAAAGCCAACUAACAAAGUAGUGGACAUCAUAUUAGACUUUCAUCUUAUGUCAUAUAAGGAAUAUGAAAGAAAUUGAAAUGUAGAAACAGAUAUAUGGGUCUUUAACAUAAGUAACCUAGUUCUUGGCUCUAGUUUUGAAGAGACAAUUUCUGAACCAUGUCUGAUUCUGUGGCUCUAAUAAUCAAGGUGCAACUCUAAGUAAAAUAAUAAGAGAUCUCACUAAAAUAUGUAAAUUUGUUCUGUAAACUGUUCAAGGACCUCUAUUUCCUUUUCACAAAGGAAAUUUGUCAAAUCCUGGGACAUGCUCUGAUCAACAUCAGUCUUAGUGUAUCCCAAAGUACUCAUUUUAAAACAAAGGAUUACCUGGUGAAGUGCUGUGCAUCUAUGGUCCCCUCAUCUAAGUAUAAAUAAGU
ensembl:lncRNA